rnacentral:lncRNA from 1 species
UCUCCUUCAUUACAGGCGUUGGUUGCCAUUGCAUUUUUGUUUUGUGCUUGAUCCCUUUUCUCUGAUUCUGUGGCAUUUUGGUUUAUUGCCCCUCCUUCUGAUAGUCUCCUAGUUUGUGCCCAAAUGAGUUGCAUUCUUGACAGAAUGUUGGUUUCUAUUCAAAUUCCAUUGAUUGCAGCCAGCUUCUCCCAUCAGGUAUCUCAA